UUACCGCUACAGUGAUUUGUAGAAGGGUACCUAACUAUGAAGUAACAAUGUCAAAUCUGAUUUUCAAUAGACAUGAUCUAAUUAACCAAUUAAGAUUAGACAUGACUGCUCAAUUUAUCUGUAGUUAUUUCAUGGUAUAAACUUGCUGGUCUUCUGAAAUUAAAUCCCAUUCCAUUUAUUUAGGCUAUUGGACUCCAAGCUUGGCCAUGCUGUCUCUGGCCUCACUUACUGACAUUUAUCUAGAAAUGAACAAAACCAUUUAAGGUUGUGAUGGUGCAGAACAGGGCAACCUACCUGCGAUAUAACCAGUUGAUGCAAAUGCAGCAUGCUGGUGCUGGACAAACUUCCCAGAGAAUUCUGGACUGAAUUCAAAAUCUUGGUCCUGCUCUUCAAAGCCUUUUACAGACUGGGGCUAAGAUCCCCUUGGAACUGCCUUUUCCUCAUCCCUCCAGAUGAAAACCAGCAGGGAUUCAGCCAAAGCUGCUCCAUGCCACUUGGAAGGCAAAACCAGAAAUACACAAGGUCAGCUGUUCAAAAACACUAUUAACUGAACAAUCUUUGCUGCUGUAUCAAAUUUCAUAGAAACCUUACAGCAUUGUGCAACACUUGAGUGAAUGGCCCUGUAAACAUCUUUUCAUAAUUGUUAAAAAAAAAAAAAAGACAAUAGCACAUGCUAGAUUAUCCAAAUAACUCAAAGGCCAUUCAAUUUUUUUAUAUUCAAAGCUUAACCACCUUCCCCACCAUGGAACUUCCAUUCUACUUGAUGCAACACCGCACUCAUAGACCUAUCUAGUAAUUGGUUCUCAUUCUCUCCACUUUCCGCCUGUAAGAGAAAGAUCUUUCACCCCAAUCAUCUCAUUGCCUUAAUACUCAAAUAUUUCAUCUACAGACAAGAGAAAGGGCUCUGUCGAUCACUGAAGACCCAUGAAUAUCAUAGUGAUGGACAGUUCUGAACCUAUUCUCUGCCCAAGCCAGACUGGACCAGCUCAUUAGUGGGAUAAGUCUGGUUAAGAUGAGCAGGGAAAUAAUUAACUGUUAGCAAAAGGAGAUUAUUAUUUGGAUUUAGAGAAGCACUCAUGAUUGAUAAUCUUUAUGGGUGGGGAAAAUAUUUUUGUCCCUUUUGCUUCUUUGUAACGUAUAUACAGGGUUGAAAGCUUUUCUUUGGUUUUCUGCUGAUUUUUCACCUUAGAAAUAUCACAGCUGCCAGACUGACCUUCCCAGUUUUGGUUAAAGGUUUCCUUGAAGGAUCAGAGAAAUGGGGAGGAGGGGGUGGGGGGAGAGAGAGAGGGGAGGCUUUCUCAGCACUUGAUGGGUGGGGAGGCGCAUUAAACCUUUGAGCUGUUUAACUCCUUAACAAACAAACAAACAAAACAAACAAACCUCCAAAGCUUUGAAACAAUUUCACUACAAAAUCGCUUUCCCCACAGGUUUCACUUCCUUGGUACCUGUGAAGCCACCACCUUUCCUAGCUUGUCCUUAAGGGUAUGUCUACAUUUCAACGUAAGCCUAGGGUUAGUGGGACUCAAGUCAGCUAGCUGACCCAUGUUAGGGAACCCUGGGCUUCAGCAUCUACACUCUAUUGUAACUUUAGGUAAAGAAUUUUCUGACCCAUGUUCAGAGCUCGGGUUCUGGUGUCCACACGAUAGUGCACAGACCUGAGUCAAAGUAACCAUAGCCCAGAGUCCCUCUCAGUGCUGCCCCCUGCCCACCAAUGUGGCUUCUCUAGCUUAUGGUGCAGUGGGAAAACUUGACUGCCCACCCUGCAAAAUACCAGGAAACAGCUCACUUUGCAAAAGGCUUGAUCAAUUUGCUCACCAUUGCAAACACAGGAGGCUCUGUUGUAAGUGUGCUUGCACAUCAGUGAUUGGAACAGAAGAGGUGAACGCGGACCUGAGCUGCUGCCGUUUGGCAAGCGUUUCAAUAGAGUGGAUUGCAGAUUGUUGGGAGAUAGAGGACUAAGGAAGUUGUCCCAUGGAACUGUGGAAUACUUCCAGGUGACUCCUGUGACCCAAGUGAAGGACUGCAGCUACACUACAAAGCAAUAGGGCUUACUCUGGGUCCCAGCUUGACUCGAGCUCAGACCCUCCAGAGUCCUGGGACCCUGGAUUUGAGCCCUGGGCUAGCACAGUUGCAGCGUAGAUGCAAGGGGGAGUUAGGCUCAAAUGUGGGCUUACCUUGCAAUGUAGAUACCCUACAGGUCUUCAAAGACUAAACAGUAGACAGAGCUGAAUGUGUAGUGCAAGAGUCAAGCUGAACUGCACCAUCCAAAACUUUUAAAAAAAUAUUAUAUAUUCAUCCUCUCUUUACAUACACAUCAUGAAGUUUAAUAUGGAACAAACAAUUGCACAGGCUACCUUAAGGUAAACAGUGGUUCCUAGUCUUAAGCUCGUGUGCUGUACAGAAAGAGGAGGAAGCUAAUACAAUACUGCUGAUAAAAAGAUAAAAUGUCAUGGGUAAAAGUUUCCAAACACAUCUAUUUUCAAAAGCAACUUAGGCACUUGGGAAACUAAGUCUCCUUGAAAGUCAAUGGGAGUUAGGAGCCUAUGUCACUUAGGUGUUUUUGAAAAUUCUACCCCGAUCUACCCCAAACAGGGAAAAAGACCAUGGAAACUAUCAGCACCUUUCCAUAAAGGCAGAUCUAUAUGGUUCUGGCUCACACAUGUUCCUUGUAGCAGCCACAGUGUCUUGUGGCUUAUAGAACCUCUGUUUUUGCUGUCAGAACUAUUUUUGCAAUCAGAAGCAUUAGAAGCUUAGUUUCAAAAUUAAGUCUUAAAUUCUAGGCUCUUUGGGGCAACAAUUGGGUCUACUUCUGUGUUUGUAGAGCACUCAGCACAAGGAGACUCAGCUCUGGCUGGGAUCUCUCAGUACUAUCAUAAUAAAAAUAAAUUUUGGAAGAUACAAGAAAAUCCAUGGGGAAGAAUGUAAAUCCUCAGAAUACAUGUGACUGUUCCAACCUAUAAAUCACGAUACAGGGCUCUGAAGGAACUAGCUUUGAGGUGGAAGAGAAGUCACGUCACUAUCUUUAAUAAGAUGACUAAAUUACACUAAUCUGUAUUCAGUCUAGUAAGUAGUAACUAUUUGGAAAAUUCAGGAGGAAGUAGGGUUUACAACACAUUUCUUAAUUUGUGCAAGUGAUUGAGAGACUCGUUGAAUAUCUGCAUUUUGGGGGUGAAAGUCACCCUUAGGCACAGGACGAGCACAAAGAGCUACACAGCACUUAAGUCCAAGUCCUCAAGUGGUGAAUAAGCCAUUUGCUGGCCAUCUGCACAGGGGUGACUACUUUCACCACAUUUUGAAUUACUGACACCAACAGAUGAAAGAAUACGUUCAAGGGUCUGAAUCUGUGAGGGGCUCAAGGCUCUCUGCUCCCAUUGACAAACAGGAGUUGAAGGUGCUCAGCCUUUACAGUCAGGCCCCAACUAUACUUUGUAAUUUUUAAAAAUUUACUGUACUAGUAAAUUAUAUCUAAUUUUUAUUUAAAUAAAAUAAAUCUUGCAGCACAAGAGCUCACUAUAGCAAUCUUUGCUAUUAAAUCUUUGCCAAGAAGUGGGGAUUUUUUUGGUCUAAGUUAUUGUGUGUGGAUUAGCAAGGCUAUUGUACCUGCAAAGAAAAGUGGAAAAACUUGGAGAUUCUGGGUCAGGUUCUCAAACUGGCACGAGCUGGUAAAGUACCAUUGACUUCCAUCUUAUUACACCAGUUUGCGCCAACUGAGGAUCUGGCUCUAUUUUACUAAAUUUAUACUUGGAUCUCGAAACAACCCAUCCAUCCACAGUUGCCUGCUGAAGUGCAUCCUUAUCAACUAAGUUUCACAAAUUUAUGAUAACGGAGUAAAAAGGGAUCACCACUUGACGAUCGCAACCAAAAAGAAAGUGUGAGCCAAAUCGUGCACCUGGUGCAGGGGACUGUGUGUGAGGCUCUAAGUGUAGGCGAUGUGCAUUUUUGGUUAAAGAGUUAAACAGAGCAGGACUGAAUGUGCUAUUCAAACAUGUAUUCGUUUAAAACAAUAUUAAUACAUUUGCUCAGAAUUCUUUCUAGACCUUUUGAGAACAUAGCUCAGUAUUUUCAAAAUGUACAUAAAACUUUCAAAAAACAAUACUGAUUAAAAAAAGAUGAUCGAUGGUACCUAAAAAAAAAUACCCAAAAUUUCAAACUGUCUCCUGUCUAGCAUUACAAUAAGUAAGAAUUCCUCCUGAAAAUUAUUUUCACUAAACAUGGGUCCUGAAAUUGAAGUAAUUAGAAACACUAUGAAUGUGAAAAUACCACCAAUUUUCUGCAGUUUAAAAAAAAUCAGAACGUUCUUUGGAAUCACCGAGUUAUCAAAAAUUUGGAUUUUUCUACAGUCUCUGCACCUUCUUUUCAAACCAGUCUGUUUGUGUACAGAUUUCAAGUCUUUGAGCAGUUUAAUAUCCACUGUUGGAAAACAGUCUCUGACCAGCAGGAGGCUACAUUAAAGAAAUAUUGGCAUACUUUAUUCAUGACUUCUGCCAAAGAUAAGGACUUUAGAGCAUCAGACAUAAUGUCCCUCUUUUAGGAGAUUUUAUGUACUUCAUGUGUAUAUUUCCAGUGCAAAUUCUUUUUCAGCACUUGUGAUAAGUGAGAAAGACAGAAACAAAGAAAG